rnacentral:rRNA from 1 species
CCUACGGGAGGCAGCAGUGAGGAAUAUUGGUCAAUGGACGAGAGUCUGAACCAGCCAAGUAGCGUGAAGGAUGACUGCCCUAUGGGUUGUAAACUUCUUUUAUAUGGGAAUAAAACGUCCCACGUGUGGGAUUUUGUAUGUACCAUAUGAAUAAGGAUCGGCUAACUCCGUGCCAGCAGCCGCGGUAAUACGGAGGAUCCGAGCGUUAUCCGGAUUUAUUGGGUUUAAAGGGAGCGUAGGUGGAUUGUUAAGUCAGUUGUGAAAGUUUGCGGCUCAACCGUAAAAUUGCAGUUGAAACUGGCAGUCUUGAGUACAGUAGAGGUGGGCGGAAUUCGUGGUGUAGCGGUGAAAUGCUUAGAUAUCACGAAGAACUCCGAUUGCGAAGGCAGUUCACUGGACUGCAACUGACACUGAGGCUCGAAAGUGUGGGUAUCAAACAGGAUUAGAUACCCCAGUAGUC